ensembl:snoRNA
GCCCUGUGGUUCCUGGAGGCUGUUUUUCUAUGCAGUUCUGCAGGUUGUUUUAAAUGGGCAAAUAUGAACUCUGUGAUUUCUUGCAUGGAGUCUGUGUUAAUUGCAGCCUCCAUAGCCCGGUUGCAGGGACAAAU